GCGAAAGUGGCGAAAUUGGUAGACGCGCUAGCUUCAGGUGCUAGUACCGCAAGGCGUGAGGGUUCGAGUCCCUCCUUUCGCA
rnacentral:tRNA from 1 species